CUGCUUAUAUAUAUAAAACAGUUUCGUUAGCUUUCUUCAUCAUCUCGUCGCAAGUGUUUAAAAAAUCGUGCGAUUUAUUAUAAUGUAUAUACGUUUUAUACAAUUAGAAUAUGUAUAAGUCUCCUAAAAUCUCAUUUUACGGUUCAUUCAGUCUAAGAACGUUUCUUUUUCCGCACGAGAUGUUAAACAUUAAACAAUUCCUUACGCUUUCGUGUUAUAAUCUAGAUAAUAUUUCUUAGGUUUUUAUUUCGAGCAGUCAUUUAUAACUUAAAUUGAAACUGCAUUUCUCCCUCUAUGUACGACAGCUGGCAAUUGUAAAAUAGAAAGACAUUCGAAGGUAAAUAAACAUUCAUCGAAUGUUCUUUCCGUGGAGGAUAGAUUUUUAUCAGAUAUAUUAUUGAUGAAAAAUUUCACUCAAUACCUUGCACAUACGCAACUUAGAUCGUAUCAUAUCCUCCUUGCAGUCCUUGUCAUCCAUUAUAAAUUAAUCAUUCGAUUGCCGUAUGUAUAUACAUAAACUCGUUCGAUUGGCGAGUCCUUCUUCCGUGCUCGGAUAAAUAUAUAUUCUUAAAAAUUAGUAUUAAUGUAAUAAAUAAAUAUUUAAUGCUAUGUAUUACGGAUAUGACCGCUUUGUUAUCCUUAUCGGACGUGUCCUUAACUGGCCUCGCGCAUCUUAAUUACAAAUAAUCACUAGCGUUCGUUUAUUCUAAGCGAUAAACUUUUAGGCUCUCACGAAAGUUUCGUUGGCUCUUCAAUGCAGCGAUUUUCGAUUGGCACGGGAGCAAAAGCGUGCAAAAGUGUCUGACUUUUUAAAAAAGAACGGAUUGCCAAUGAAGUUUACCGAUGAUUUCAACGUAAUCGAUUUAGUUCCUUGGAAAAACCAAUCUCUCAGACACGACGCAAGGUGUCUUCAUUUAAAUAUACUGUCAUAUAUUUAAUAUAUUUUAUAUAUUCGAUGCAUGAAUUCUUAAAAAAAUUAAAACAAACCAACAGUUUCGGAAUCUAGGAAUAUGAAAAUACAGAGGACCUCGAUAUGAUUGCUCGAGCACGUGAGAAUCUAACGAACCAGGAGUCCAAGAGUUCUAAAGCAUCGAAGGAUUGGCACGUCCAAAGAUCGGCAAAUUCGAGAACUCUCUACCUCUGUUCUUCUUACAUGCGUCGUAUAUGAUAUAAAUUUCUCACGUUUUCGAGAAGCUCGAGAGAGGCUCUUUGUAUUCUGCAUGCAAGAACAUAAAAAACCAGGCAAACUUUCGCAAGAAAAUAUCCCUGACGACGGUGAAUAUUUCUUCGCGUCGGCGGUGACACUCGUGGUCCUAAAGAUGCCGAGCAGGCUGCUCCUUAGACGGGCGUAGAUCUCCUUGCGCACAGUAGCCGUGAACUUGGUGGUCAGGCAGCUGAUCGCCGCCGUCGCGAAGAUCAGGUUGUAGAGGAGAACGAGUUUGAAGUUACCGAGCCACUCGAUGCGUCCGAAAUCACCCAAUAGAUCAAAGUUUGUCAUUCCUGGGAAAAACGGAAUAGAAGAAACGUGAGCAGAGUAGCAUUAAAAAAUGCCAAUCAUGUAAAACUUUGUUCUCUAGUAUCACUUCUUUUAAAUGUAUUUUUGUUAUAAUAACAAAUAAUUUGUUAUUUAUAACAUAAUUAUUUUUUAUGUUUCGUUCGCGAAUCUUUAUAACUCGAAAAUUACUUGUAUUUAACAUCUUUAUUAAUAAAAAUAUUGAUUCUAAAUUAA